GUGGGGAAUAUUGGGCAAUGGGCGAAAGCCUGACCCAGCAACGCCGCGUGAGGGAAGAAGGCCUUCGGGUUGUAAACCUCUGUCCUUGGUGACGAAGAAAGUGACGGUAGCCAAGGAGGAAGCCCCGGCUAACUACGUGCCAGCAGCCGCGGUAAUACGUAGGGGGCGAGCGUUGUCCGGAAUUACUGGGCGUAAAGGGUGCGUAGGUGGCCUUUUAAGUUGGAUGUGAAAUACCCGGGCUUAACUUGGGGGGUGCAUCUAAUACUGGGAGGCUAGAGUGAGAGAGAGGGAAGCGGAAUUCCUAGUGUAGCGGUGAAAUGCGUAGAUAUUAGGAGGAACACCAGUGGCGAAGGCGGCUUUCUGGACUGUAACUGACACUGAGGCACGAAAGCGUGGGGAGCAAACAGGAUUAGAAACCCUUGUAGUCC
rnacentral:rRNA from 1 species